rnacentral:rRNA from 1 species
GACGAAUGGGGCUAGCGUUGUUCGGAAUUCCUGGGCGUAAAGGGCGCGUAGGUGGCCCAGCAAGUCAGGCGUUAACGACCCAGGCUCAACCUGGGGAAUGCGCUUGAGACUGCAGGGCUUGAGACCGGAAGAGGAGAGUGGAAUUCCCAGUGUAGAGGUGAAAUUCGUAGAUAUUGGGAAGAACACCAGUGGCGAAGGCGGCUCUCUGGUCCGGUUCUGACACUAAGGCGCGAAAGCGUGGGGAGCAAACAGG